rnacentral:rRNA from 1 species
UACAGAGGUGGCAAGCGUUGUUCGGAGUUACUGGGCGUAAAGCGCGUGUAGGCGGCUUUGCAAGUCGGGUGUGAAAGCCCUCAGCUCAACUGAGGAAGUGCGCCCGAAACUGCAGAGCUUGAGUACCGGAGAGGAUGGCGGAAUUCCCAAGUAGAGGUGAAAUUCGUAGAUAUGGGGAGGAACACCGGUGGCGAAGGCGGCCAUCUGGACGGAUACUGACGCUGAGACGCGAAAGCGUGGGGAGCAAACAGG